GACGAACGCUGGCGGCGUGCUUAACACAUGCAAGUCGAACGGAAAGGCCCUGCUUUUGUGGGGUGCUCGAGUGGCGAACGGGUGAGUAACACGUGAGUAACCUGCCCUUGACUUUGGGAUAACUUCAGGAAACUGGGGCUAAUACCGGAUAGGAGCUCCUGCUGCAUGGUGGGGGUUGGUAAGUUUCGGCGGUUGGGGAUGGACUCGCGGCUUAUCAGCUUGUUGGUGGGGUAGUGGCUUACCAAGGCUUUGCCGGGUAGCCGGCCUGAGAGGGUGACCGGCCACAUUGGGACUGAGAUACGGCCCAGACUCCUACGGGAGGCAGCAGUGGGGAAUAUUGCACAAUGGGCGGAAGCCUGAUGCAGCAACGCCGCGUGCGGGAUGACGGCCUUCGGGUUGUAAACCGCUUUCGCCUGUGACGAAGCGUGAGUGACGGUAAUGGGUAAAGAAGCACCGGCUAACUACGUG
rnacentral:rRNA from 1 species